rnacentral:rRNA from 1 species
CCUACGGGAGGCAGCAGUGAGGAAUAUUGGUCAAUGGACGAGAGUCUGAACCAGCCAAGUAGCGUGAAGGAUGACUGCCCUAUGGGUUGUAAACUUCUUUUAUAUGGGAAUAAAAUGUUCCACGUGUGGGUUUUUGUAUGUACCAUAUGAAUAAGGAUCGGCUAACUCCGUGCCAGCAGCCGCGGUAAUACGGAGGAUCCGAGCGUUAUCCGGAUUUAUUGGGUUUAAAGGGAGCGUAGGUGGAUUGUUAAGUCAGUUGUGAAAGUUUGCGGCUCAACCGUAAAAUUGCAGUUGAGACUGGCAGUCUUGAGUACAGUAGAGGUGGGCGGAAUUCGUGGUGUAGCGGUGAAAUGCUUAGAUAUCACGAAGAACUCCGAUUGCGAAGGCAGCUCACUGGACUGCAACUGACACUGAGGCUCGAAAGUGUGGGUAUCAAACAGGAUUAGAUACCCCUGUAGUC